rnacentral:rRNA from 1 species
AGAGUUUGAUCCUGGCUCAGGAGAAACGCUGGCGGCGCACAUAAGACAUGCAAGUCGAACGGAACUUAGUCGAAUGUUUACAUGAGACGAAAGUUUAGUGGCGGACGGGUGAGUAACACGUGAGCAACCUACCCUCUGGAGGGGGAUAACAGUGAGAAAUCAUUGCUAAUACCGCAUAAGCUUGUAGUACCGCAUGGUACAGCAAGAAAAGGAGCAAUCCGCUAAUAGAUGAGCUUGCGGCUGAUUAGCUAGUUGGUGUGGUAACGGCAUACCAAGGCGACGAUCAGUAGCCGGACUGAGAGGUUGACCGGCCACAUUGGGACUGAGAUACGGCCCAGACUCCUACGGGAGGCAGCAGUGGGGAAUAUUGGGCAAUGGGCGCAAGCCUGACCCAGCAACGCCGUGUGAAGGAAGAAGGCUUUCGGGUUGUAAACUUCUUUUAAGAGGGAAGAGCAGAAGACUGUACCUCUAGAAGAAGCCACGGCUAACUACGUGCCAGCAGCUGCGGUAAUACGUAGGUGGCAAGCGUUAUCCGGAUUUAUUGGGUGUAAAGGGUGUGUAGGCGGGACUGCAAGUCAGACGUGAAAAUCAUGGGCUCAACCCAUGACUUGCGUUUGAAACUGCGGUUCUUGAGAGUGGGAGAGGUAAACGGAAUUCCUGGUGUAGCGGUGAAAUGCGUAGAUAUCAGGAGGAACACCGGUGGCGAAGGCGGUUUACUGGACCACAACUGACGCUGAGACACGAAAGCGUGGGGAGCAAACAGGAUUAGAUACCCUGGUAGUCCACGCCGUAAACGAUGAAUGCUAGGUGUAGGGUACGAACGUAUUCUGUGCCGCAGCUAACGCAAUAAGCAUUCCACCUGGGGAGUACGGCCGCAAGGUUGAAACUCAAAGGAAUUGACGGGGGCCCGCACAAGCGGUGGAUUAUGUGGUUUAAUUCGAAGCAACGCGAAGAACCUUACCAGGGCUUGACAUCCUACUAACGAGAUAGAGAUAUGUUAGGUGCCCUUCGGGGAAAGUAGAGACAGGUGGUGCAUGGUUGUCGUCAGCUCGUGUCGUGAGAUGUUGGGUUAAGUCCUGCAACGAGCGCAACCCUUACCUCCAGUUACCAGCACGUCAAGGUGGGGACUCUGGAGGAACUGCCUACGCAAGUAGAGAGGAAGGUGGGGAUGACGUCAAAUCAGCACGGCCCUUAUGUCCGGGGCUACACACGUGCUACAAUGGCGCGCACAGAAGGCAGCGACCCUGCGAGGGGGAGCGAAUCCCGAAAGCGCGUCUCAGUUCGGAUCGGAGUCUGCAACCCGACUCUGUGAAGUUGGAUUCGCUAGUAAUCGCGCAUCAGCCAUGACGCGGUGAAUACGUUCCCGGGCCUUGUACUCACCGCCCGUCA